AGCAGAAAAUGCAAUGAUAAUGAAAUAGAAAACUAAAUUAAGUUCAACAUGCCCUUUAGGAGACUAACAGAACAACCAGUGCACCAACGUGAUCUGCAGCCUAGUGAGUUUUGUUCCAAUGGGAAAUCAAGUUAGCUGAUCUAUCUUGGAACACUACCACAACUUCGUAGACCAGUGGACUACUCUAUGCAGAAGAGAAAAAUAUAGUCCAGAGGGAUCCAGAGUCCUGCCCUAGGUAACAAUAUCAAAGCUGAAAAUGCAAAGUGUUGGGCUGGCUGAGAGACAGGGGCACCCAACAUGGCCAACAUCUCAAAUUGGGUCAAAAUGGCUGAUCUUCCCGCCAAAGCAGCCAUGACCAGCACAUCGUCUCCAGUAAACGGAAGCCUACACGGGAAGCCGAGACUUUCCAUCCAGGACUCUCCAGCCAGGGACCACCCCCAUCGCCUGUACUAUCCCCACCCCAGCCAGUCUCCUAGGGACACGGUGAUCCUUUGCCCAAUUUGGCAAGGGACCCACCCGGAUCCGACCCGGAGCCAACAAGGCUUAAAACCCCCCGCGCUCCCCAACCUGGGCGCGACUUCCCUGACUCGGGCCACCUCUCCGGGUCACCGAACCUCGCCCGGGAGCGCUCCCCAUCAAAAGCACUCUCGCCUCGAACCUACUGCCUGGCUCUGCCGGGUUGUUUUUUUUUUCAUUUCUCCACCGUUCAUUUUGGAAAAAACCUAACACACAGUAUUUUUAAAAACAUACACUUUAAAAAUGUUUGCAAAUCAUAUAUUUUCACACAGAAAAGGUCUUGUCAUUUCAAUAUAAAAAGAUAAAAUUAAGUAGGUUCCUGGAAGAUGUUGGUCCAGAAAACAAAACAAAAAGUGCUAAGAAGUCAAAUAAUAUGUAAAACAGUCAUAAAGCAGUAUCAACUGGUAUCGAUACACACGCACAUACACACAUGAUGUACGCUGAUGUUAAUAAAGUAGGAAAUGCUACUACUUGACAUGAUGCACGAAAAAGAGGAUUUGCUCUAUGACACUCACCACUUUUUCAGAUUCAUUUUGCAUUGCUUUCUUCUUCUUUUUUUUGAGGUCUUAGUUAUAUACAGACCAGUAUUAUUCAAAUGUAGUGAUUUCAGAUAACAUACAUUCUUUUUCAAAUAACACACAUUAUUUUUCCUUUCUUAUCUCCUUUGUGACUCUCAUAUCUUUGUAAAUCUCUUCUGUUGUAAUGAGAUGAAUACCUAAUUGUUCUCCCUUAAGAGAAAUGACAUGUUAAUGAGAGCAUGCUAAAUAUAAAAGUAUGCAUGUA